rnacentral:rRNA from 1 species
GAUGAACGCUGACAGAAUGCUUAACACAUCAGCAAUUGAUUGGUGGCGGACGGGUGAGUAACGCGUAAAGAACUUACCUCACAGUUAGGGACAACAUAUGGAAACGAAUGCUAAUACCUAAUACUGUGAGAGAGAUUUGCGUCCCAUUAGAUAGUUGGAGAGGUAACGGCUCACCAAGGCGAGGAUGGGUAGCCGGCCUGAGAGGGUGAUCGGCCACAAGGGGACUGAGACACGGCCCUUACUCCUACGGGAGUCAGCAGUGGGUAUUAUUGGACAAUGUACCAAAGUCUGAUCCAGCAAUUCGGUGUGCACGAUGAAUUUUUCGGAAUGUAAAGUGCUUUCAGUUGAGAAGCGGUACCAACAGAAGAAGUGACGGCUAAAUACGUGCCAGCAGCCGCGGUAAUAC